rnacentral:rRNA from 1 species
CAGCAGCCGCGGGAAUACGGAGGGAGUUAGCGUUGUUCGGAAUUACUGGGCGUAAAGCGCACGUAGGCGGCUUUGUAAGUCAGAGGUGAAAGCCUGGAGCUCAACUCCAGAACUGCCUUUGAGACUGCAUCGCUUGAAUCCAGGGGAGGUGAGUGGAAUUCCGAGUGUAGAGGUGAAAUUCGUAGAUAUUCGGAAGAACACCAGUGGCGAAGGCGGCUCACUGGACUGGUAUUGACGCUGAGGUGCGAAAGCGUGGGGAGCAAACAGGAUUAGAUACCCGCGUAGUCCCUGUCUCUUAUAA